AUCUGGUGCGUUUCACUUGAAAGGGAACCGGACAGUACAUUUGUUUGUUGUACUGUUUUGUUGAGGACUUCUCUUCCAGUUUCACAGGUUAAAGACUUUUUGAAGUAAAGACGAGCAUCUCAUCUGAACCUGAUGUCUAUCAUGGAUAUUUAACUGCAGUUUUGUGAGUAUCCCAACUUAACCAUGAAGCAUAUCUGCAAACUGUAAGUCAUUCAUUUCUCAUUACUCUUGGGCACAUUGAUGCAUUUUGGCUUGGUGAGUUAACCUGUUACCUGAAGGUUGAUCUGAGUAUUAAGGAUGUUUUAUUGGUUCAUGGGUUUCUUAGGUGUUUGGUUUAUGUUGGUAUUAAUGAUUUGUUAAAAUGGUUACAGGCUCCAAGUUAUUGUUGUAAGCUUGAGUAAUAGGUUGGGUUCUGAUAUCUUCAGUCUUCUUUCAUUCUUCUCUCCUGAGCUCUGCAUCUUCAUCACAUGAGUAAUGCUUUACAUUAGGGUGUGGUCUGAGUGGGCAGAGGUGCAUACUGGGAUACAGAGCUGUCUCGAGUCUACAGGUCCGUAGACACGCCCCCUCAGGGGAAACCGAGUGUUUGAGAAACUGUCGUGACGUCAGUUACAUGGACUGGAAUGUUCUUAAAGAUGGAGACAUGGUUUCAGAAGGAGAAACACCAGGGGGAGAUGAGGGGGCUCUUCAUCUCAACGACUAAAACACAACUUCAGUCUCACACAGAGAACCAUGGAACACAUUCAACAGUCCCCUCCAGGCAUCGUGACUCCUCAGGAACAGUUUCAUUUUCAAGAAGGUCUUAUUUGGGGCCAUCCCCAUAUGGAUCCUGCUCCUCAAGAGCCACCCCCCUCCACUGGGUGGUCUUUUGAACAGAUGACCUCAGGCUGACUAAAGCUGCACCGUUUGCAUCUGUGAAGGCCCCUCAUUCAGGAAACGGCUGGACUACAAAGACAUGACUUCAGAGAUGUUGAAUCAACCUGGGACACAUUUUGGACGCCAAGCAUAAUCCAUCACCAAUGUGGGACGCCACUGAAGAAUGUUGUACAUCAUUUACGUCUCUGGAGACAUUGGUUGUUCUGUUAUGGGUGCCCUGGCAGGAGAGCUGGGGGGGGGGUGAUGGAAUGUUAUUUGCUAUGAGGUUUUUACCCUGCUUGAUUGUUUGGCCUUUUAUGGCUCAGUUGGCUGUGUGUGUGUGUGUGUGUGUGUGUGUGUGUGUGUGUGUGUGUGUGUGUGUGUGUGUGUGUGUGUGUGUGUGUGUGUGUGUGUGUGUGUGUGUGUGUGUGUGUGUGUGUGUGUG
ensembl:lncRNA